rnacentral:rRNA from 1 species
AGAGCGAACGCUGGCGGCAGGCUUAACACAUGCAAGUCGAGCGGGCGUAGCAAUACGUCAGCGGCAGACGGGUGAGUAACGCGUGGGAACGUACCUUUUGGUUCGGAACAACCCAGGGAAACUUGGGCUAAUACCGGAUAAGCCCUUACGGGGAAAGAUUUAUCGCCGAAAGAUCGGCCCGCGUCUGAUUAGCUAGUUGGUGAGGUAAUGGCUCACCAAGGCGACGAUCAGUAGCUGGUCUGAGAGGAUGAUCAGCCACAUUGGGACUGAGACACGGCCCAAACUCCUACGGGAGGCAGCAGUGGGAAUAUGGACAAUGGGCGCAAGCCUGAUCCAGCCAUGCCGCGUGAGUGAUGAAGGCCCUAGGGUUGUAAAGCUCUUUGUGCGGGAAGAUAAUGACGGUACCGCAAGAAUAACGCCCCGGCUAACUUCGUGCCAGCAGCCGC